AAAAAAGACAACCCUAGGUUUCCGUGUACUGUUCGUCUUAUAUGAAUUUUUUUAUAAUUAGUAUUUUUGUUGUUGUUAGAUGAUAAAACAUGAUUAAUACUUUAUACGUGACUUUUCUUUUUAAUGUUUUUCAUAUUUUUUUUCAAAUAAGAAGGACGGUCAAACGUUGGACACGGAAACCCAAGGUU
rnacentral:pre_miRNA from 1 species